UAGAAGGCUGUGCCUUCAUUCCAUCACUUGUAAAAAAAAACAGAAAAGAAAAGAAAGCAGGGGUCAUUGAAUUCUCACGUUCUAAUCUCUCUCUCUCUCUCCAGAUCGCUCCUCACGUUCUAAUCUCUCUCUCUCUCUCUCUCUCUCUCUCUCUCUCUCCCUAAACCCGAAAAUCUCUCUCUCUCUCUCUCUCUCUCUCUCUCUCUCCAGAUCGCUCCUCUCCCUGUCUCACUCUGAGUCUUCUCUCAUUCUCUUCUUCAUCCAACUCUCUUCUUUACCCAGAAAUCAUAGUCUUCCUCUCUCUUUCAUUCUGAAAUCCCAAAUAGGGAAACCCCCAAUCUCAGAUUCCCCAAAAUCACCCAAACCCUCGUUUUCUCCCAUAACCCCUCUCUUUUUCUCUUCGAUCUCGAUCUCACCCACCAAACUGCGAUUCGAAGAAUUUGGUGGCCACUGGAUUGACUUGGAUCAGUGAUUUUUUUUUUUUUUGGGAACCCGAUUCAACGGUACGGUCACUGGUGUUGAGCUAAUUCCUCUAUGCUUUGUUGUUUUGCAGGCUGGGCAUCUUGCUGAGUUUUAUGAGUAUUGCAAGGGCUUGAAUCUUGCUAGAACUUUUCAGUUUCCAAGAUGGUGGAUCUCAGCCCCAGGUCUGAAAUCUUAAGUCCGGCAAGUAUGCGGAGCAUGUCGGUGUCGGAGCUCCGGUGUAGCUCUCUGCCGUCCUUCAAUACCUGGCUGCUGUGGUUGGUGAAUCUGAACCUUUGAGCUGAUCAUCGAAUGGUAUUCCUUUUGAAUUUGAAUGUUGGCAUCUGGGAUUUAAUUCUCUUGCUUUGUUCUGAUCUAUUUGCUACUUCAUAUUUUGUAGGCAUGGUUUAAGUUGGGUUUCUUAACUUAUCUUUUACUCUCAUGGAUAUCAGGUAGCUGAUUUGUAUGUUUUCGGCUCAUAGUGUCCCCUUCAGAUUCUUCCUCUAUUUCUUCUUCUUCUUCCCUUCUUUCCAAGGCUGUGCUUAUAAUGCUAGCUGCCACAUACCUAGAUAGACACUUCCAACUGGUUUCUGAGUCUUAAAAGUUGGGAGGUUAAAUCUGAAAAUAGAGUCUUUUCCUUCUAAAAAACCAAACCCAAGAGCUAGACAGAUUAGAACAACAUAUAGGACUUUUCUCACGAGAAGAUUUGGGGAAGACCCAGGUGGUGAAAAAGUUUGGAUUUUGGUCUAUCUGGGUUUUGAGAAAGAAAAAAUUGAGUACUAGUAGUAGCUGUGGAAGAAAUGGUGCUGUUAGGCCUUACAUAAGAUCCAAAGUGCCUCUUCUGAGGUGGACUCCUGAGCUUCAUCACUGCUUUGUUCAAGCCAUUGAGAGGCUUGGAGGCCAUAAAAAGGCUACUCCAAAACUUGUUCUUCAGAUUAUGGAUAUCAAAGGACUCACCAUUUCUCAUGUCAAAAGCCAUCUCCAGAUGUUUAGAAGCAUGAGGGGUGAACUUAGUAGAGCACCUGCAGUUGAUGCCCCAAAUGGGUGUGAGAAAAAGUGAACCAUUUUCCAGGCCAUGUACACUAAUCCCAUCAGAGAAUCAGAUCCUCAGGCCAUGUACACUAAUCCCAGCAGUUCAAAAAGGUGAGCCCCGUUAUUUAUUACCUUUAGUAACCUACACACAUAUAUAUGUUUUCAGCUGCUAGGCUCUAGGCACUACUUUAGUGUCUUUCAGUAGGGGAAGGUGUUUCAGAUGCUGUAUCAGGCUUCUAAUCACAAUGUCAAAAAAGUAGGAUAGUGUCAUAGAGAAAGAAAACAAAAAGCAUCCACCUUUGCUUCUUUUUCUGAACUUGCUUGCUUGCUUUUCUUGAUAAUAUAUAAAGGGCAUAAGCUUUUGUAAAUAAUUGUAGCUUGAAUACUGAUGUGUAACUGACUAAUGUUGCUUUUGAGUUUCAAAUUGGCAGUAGUUUUAUUUUGUAUAUGAGUUUUCUUCAAUCUGUAAAAUGUUGUACCUGCCAUUGGAAGACAUAGUUUAUUAUUUAGUUAUGGCCCAGAAACUAGAUAAUGUAUAUGAGCAGCAAGGUGAGACUUGUUUCUGAUCAUUGAUACUGCUUUGUAAAAGCUGAGGCAUAAUUACUAAUUUUCUUGUCAAUUUGAAAGCACAUUCAGGCUUAAUUACAGAUUUGAUUUAAGUGCAGGUUUGGUGGUAGAUUAAAUAUAGCAUUGAAGAAAAUAACAAGAUUUACUUUUCUUAGUUACUGUUUGAUAUUAUAGACGAUGAGGUUGGAGCUGCGUUUUCCAUGGUUUACAUAUUUGGAGCUCCGUUCAUGUUUGUUGGGUGUGGGCAGUGCUACACACACCUCAAAAAGCUGAAUGUAAAAUCAAUUGUGAAGACUCCUUUGGUUAGAAUGCUUAGGUUAGAAUGCUUUUGUUCUUUUAAUGUUGGUUUGGAUGAUAAGGAAAUGCUCCUUUUUUACAUUUGAAGUUUAUAGUAUGAGUUCGAUUAAUCA